AGAGAGAGAUGGCCUCCACGGAGUCUGACUUUGCGCCACUGGGCUUCAGAUUAGAGUUGAUAGAGUAGGACAUAAUCAUGCUACAUGAGCAAUACCAGAUACCUCCUGCAUUCCAGCUUGAAGUCUCGAGACCAGGUGAUCGAGUCUACCGUCUGCCUCUAGGACGUAUGGGGUUCUACGAGGAGUGCUUCCGAGCUGGGCUGAGGCUUCCUCUCCACCUUUUUUUUGUGGUGCUCCUCCAAUACUUUGAAAUAUCAUCAUGUACGGUUGUCUCGAAUGCAUGGCGUCAUAUCUGCGACUUCACCAUGGUAUGCAUACUGGCUUGGGUUGCACCAAACAUCACAUUCUUUCAUUUUCUCUUCAGCCUCAAGUGGCAUCCAGAUUUGCACGGGUGGUGGUAUGUGACUC
rnacentral:lncRNA from 1 species